rnacentral:tRNA from 2 species
GCCGAUAUAGCUCAGAUGGCAGAGCAGCCCCUUCGUAAGGGGCAGGCCGUCCGUUCGAUCCGGACUAUCGGCACCA